UUCAUUAGCAAUGUGAGAAUAAUUAAAUAGGUCAUUCAGUGACACAACAGGGCCGCCGAGGAACAAGCACUGGCUGUUGGUGAAGCUGUAUAGGUUUGGAAAGGUCACAGACAGAGGAAUGAGAAUGUAGUGUAAGCAGUUCUAAAAAUGGAAACAAUGACCUUCAUCAUAUUGUGUGUCACAAGAAACCAGGCCAUGACCAGUCCUGGCUCUCACAAUGUUUUCAACAUACCAAACAGAACAGAAACACAGAAAGUGUAACAAAAGCUAAACAUAAAUUUUUCUUUAAGAUGCCUUUUCAAAGUGAUGGAUCAAAAACUGAGUAAGAAAUGGAGUCUCACAAUGCACUUAUUGGCAGUAAAGGCAUUUUUUCCUUUGCUUUGAGCAAUACAGCAGCUCUGUAUAAGUCUUAUUCUUCACCAGAAUCUCUCUAGGGGCUUGUGGAGAAGCAUAAACUCUGAUUGGCCAAAUUUUUUUGGCAAAUGUGGAAAUACGGCCGUUUUCCAGCUUCCUAUAAAAGGUACAAAACAUAUGACCUCAACAACAGGAAUUGUGCAAAAGAUUUCCUAAACUCCAGCUUUUGGAAACAUUUGCUUCAGUAUGUGUUUCAGAAAUAAAUAAGGAAGAUAGCAACUCUGCAAGAUUUGGAAUUAGUACCAGGUCCUUAAGAGAAAAUGAAAGCAGAAAAACCUCAAAUUGCAAACCAAUCUGGAAAAACAUAAAAACACAAACAAACAAAAAACCACAGGAAUUUGACCU